GUGCAUGGUGGGAGAAAUGUCCUGUGAUUUAAGUUUCCCAUGUAGUCCACUCUUGUAAUACCCCUGUGAUGUGACUCAGGAAACCCCUUGCAUGGGGAAUUGCAUAAAUACUGCAGCAUGUGAAUAAAGACCUCAGUUGACUCCCAGAACUGUGUUUCGUCCGGUUACUGGGGGGAUUUGGGAUAUUGCCUUACUUUCCAGCGCUUUACUUUGG